UACGAGGGAGGCAAGCGUUGUUCGGAAUUAUUGGGCGUAAAGGGCGCGUAGGCGGUGCGGUAAGUCUGAUGUGAAAUCUCCGGGCUCAACUCGGAGUCUGCAUCAGAAACUGCCGUGCUCGAGUGUGGGAGAGGUGAGUGGAAUUCCCGGUGUAGCGGUGAAAUGCGUAGAGAUCGGGAGGAACAUCAGUGGCGAAGGCGGCCAUCUGGAUCAACACUGACGCUGAGGCACGAAAGCGUGGGGAGCAAACAGG
rnacentral:rRNA from 1 species